UUCUCUUCCUCUCUCGCUCUCGCUGUUGACUUGGCUCCUCCCUCCCUCUCUCUUUUCGCGUUUCGCCCUGGCUUACUACCUGAAACGAGGCGAGGCGAGUAAACCAAGAUCAAGAAAAGAAGGAAGCCAAGAGAGACGGUGGGUAGUCAGAGCGACGGUCAAUCGAGGCACGAGGCACGCCUCCGCGGAGACGCGGCGCGUCGGAGAAGUUAGAAAAUACGCGAUCUACUCCUCUUGGUUUACGCGCAUAAAUUUGAGAAAAC
rnacentral:lncRNA from 1 species